rnacentral:rRNA from 1 species
GCAGUCGAACGGGCACUUCGGUGCUAGUGGCAGACGGGUGAGUAACACGUGGGAACGUACCUUUCGGUUCGGAAUAAUUCAGGGAAACUUGGACUAAUACCGGAUACGCCCUUCGGGGGAAAGAUUUAUCGCCGAUAGAUCGGCCCGCGUCUGAUUAGCUAGUUGGUGAGGUAAUGGCUCACCAAGGCGACGAUCAGUAGCUGGUCUGAGAGGAUGAUCAGCCACAUUGGGACUGAGACACGGCCCAAACUCCUACGGGAGGCAGCAGUGGGGAAUAUUGGACAAUGGGCGCAAGCCUGAUCCAGCCAUGCCGCGUGAGUGAUGAAGGCCUUAGGGUUGUAAAGCUCUUUUGUCCGGGAAGAUAAUGACUGUACCGGAAGAAUAAGCCCCGGCUAACUUCGUGCCAGCAGCCGCGGUAAUACGAAGGGGGCUAGCGUUGCUCGGAAUCACUGGGCGUAAAGGGCGCGUAGGCGGACUCUUAAGUCGGGGGUGAAAGCCCAGGGCUCAACCCUGGAAUUGCCUUCGAUACUGGGAGUCUUGAGUUCGGAAGAGGUUGGUGGAACUGCGAGUGUAGAGGUGAAAUUCGUAGAUAUUCGCAAGAACACCAGUGGCGAAAGGCGGCCAACUGGUCCGAAACUGACGCUGAGGCGCGAAAGCGUGGCGAGCAAAACAGGAUUAGAUACCCUGGUAUUCCACGCCGUAAACGAUGAAUGCCACCCGUUGGGGAGCUUGCUCUUCAGUGGCGCAGCUAACGCUUUAAGCAUUCCGCCUGGGGAGUACGGUCGCAAGAUUAAAACUCAAAGGAAUUGACGGGGGCCCGCACAAGCCGGUGGAGCAUGUGGUUUAAUUCGAAGCAACGCGCAGAACCUUACCAGCUUUUGACAUGUCCGGUUUGAUCGGCAGAGAUGCCUUUCUUCAGUUCGGCUGGCCAAAACACAGGUGCUGCAUGGAAAUAGUCAAAAUCGUGUCGUGAGAUGUUGGGUUAAGUCCCGCAACGAGCGCAACCCUCGCCCCUAGUUGCCAUCAUACAGUUGGGAACUCUAGGGGGACUGCCGGUGAUAAGCCGCGAGGAAGGUGGGGAUGACGUCAAGUCCUCAUGGCCCUUACAGGCUGGGCUACACACGUGCUACAAUGGCGGUGACAAUGGGCAGCGAAAGGGCGACCUCGAGCUAAUCCCAAAAAGAGACUCAGUUCAGAUUGCACUCUGCAACUCGAGUGCAUGAAGGUGGAAUCGCUAGUAAUCGUGGAUCAGCUUUCCGCGGUGAAUACGUUCCCGGGCCUUGUACACACCGCCUGCCCUCCCUGGAGUUGGGUUUCCCGAAGGCGUCUCGCUUACCGCAAGGAGGC